UUGGGCACAAAUUCUUGGUUUCCCUAUCUCUAAGAAUGAGUUGUUAGUACUAGAUUGCCUUUCAACUUUAUAACUGUUAUGCUUUAUCAUCCAUGGAAUUGGGAGCUAGCUCCAGGAGUAUUUAACAGGAAGAAUGGAUGGUCACUGUUGAAGAAGCAGAGAAGUAUACUGGGUGGCUGCCAGAGGAACCGUUUCACCAGCCAGCCACUUUUGUUCUUCCCUGCCCUAUGAAUCCUACUCCCAUACAUAUAUUCUGUUUCCCAAUAGUCCAAAUAACCAGAGAGAAAUGCCAUAGACUCAAUGUCCCCCAUUUAAGGUUAACAUGAAAAUGAUUGAGUUUUAAUGAGUCCAGUCAUCUAGCAGGACUGUGAGGGCGGGAGGCAAGGAGGUGAGGAGUGGACAGGGCCAUUGGGGGACAUGCAAGACAACACGUGCCACAGACACCCACUUUAUGUGCAGCUCUAAUUUGAAAACUUCAGAUAAGCACCUUACGUGAGGACUCCUCUCUGCCCUUGAGAAGUUAACAAUCUAAGUAGAUUACAUUAACGGAUACUUAAUAUAUAUCAAACAGAUAGUAGACUGAUCACACAGGAUGGUUUCCCAUCUAUUCUAAGAGGUCUCUGAUCCUGCCAUUUAUUUUAUAUCCAAUGCCACUGUUUAGUUCAAAUCAACACUGUCUUUUAUCUGAAUUAUAAAAGGUUUUUUCCUUCUUC